rnacentral:rRNA from 1 species
CUCAAAUGAAUUGACGGGGGCCCGCACAAGCGGUGGAGCAUGUGGUUUAAUUCGAUGCAACGCGAAGAACCUUACCUGGUCUUGACAUCCACAGAACUUUCCAGAGAUGGAUUGGUGCCUUCGGGAACUGUGAGACAGGUGCUGCAUGGCUGUCGUCAGCUCGUGUUGUGAAAUGUUGGGUUAAGUCCCGCAACGAGCGCAACCCUUAUCCUUUGUUGCCAGCGGUUAGGCCGGGAACUCAAAGGAGACUGCAGUGAUAAACUGGAGGAAGGUGGGGAUGACGUCAAGUCAUCAUGGCCCUUACGACCAGGGCUACACACGUGCUACAAUGGCAUAUACAAAGAGAAGCGACCUCGCGAGAGCAAGCGGACCUCAUAAAGUAUGUCGUAGUCCGGAUUGGAGUCUGCAACUCGACUCCAUGAAGUCGGAAUCG